rnacentral:rRNA from 1 species
UGAGUACGAGAUGCUACGGCAUCGAAGCAGUCUAUGUCAUACUUCCAAGAAAAGCUUGCACUGUCAUAAACAAAGAAUGCCUGUACCAUAACCGACACAGGUGGGUAGGUAGAGUAUACUAAGGGGCGCGAGAUAACUCUCUCUAAGGAACUCGGCAAAAUGACUCCGUAACUUCGGGAGAAGGAGUGCCUUAUUUAUAAGGUUGCAAUAACAAGAUCCAAGCAACUGUUUAUCAAAAACACAGGUCUCCGCUAAGUCGUAAGACGAUGUAUGGGGGCUGACGCCUGCCCAGUGCCAGAAGGUUAAAGAAGUUGGUUAGUGUAUGCGAAGCUGAUGACUGAAGCCCUGGUGAACGGCGGCCGUAACAAUAACGGUCCUAAGGUAGCGAAAUACCUUGUCGGGUAAGUUCCGACCCGCACGAAAGGCGUAAUGAUUUGGAUACUGUCUCGGAGAGAGGCUCGGUGAAAUAGACUUGUCUGUGAAGAUGCGGACUACCUGCACCAGGACAGAAAGACCCUAUGAAGCUUUACUGUAACUUGAAAUUGGAAUUGGACUUUGCUUGCGCAGUAUAGGUGGGAAGCGUUGAAAAUAUUCUUGCGGGAGUAUUGGAGCUAUCAGUGAGAUACCACUCUUGUAAUGUUAGAUUUCUAACUUUGAACCAUAAUCUGGUCAAAGAACAGUUUCAGGUGGGCAGUUUGACUGGGGCGGUCGCCUCCCAAAUGGUAACGGAGGCGUACAAAGGUUUCCUCUGAACGGAUAGAAAUCGUAUCUAGAGUGUAAAGGCAUAAGGAAGCUUGACUGUGAGACCUACAAGUCGAGCAGGGACGAAAGUCGGUCUUAGUGAUCUGACGGUACUGAGUGGAAAGGCCGUCACUCAACGGAUAAAAGUUACUCUAGGAUAACAGGCUGAUCUCCCCCAAGAGUUCACAUCGACGGGGAGGUUUGGCACCUCGAUGUCGGCUCAUCGCAUCCUGGGGCGGUAGUACGUCCCAAGGGUUGGGCUGUUCGCCCAUGAAAGCGGUACGCGAGCUGGGUUCAGAACGUCGUGAGACAGUUCGGUCCAUAUCCGGUGUAGGCGCUAGAAUAUUGAGAGGAGCCUUCUUUAGUACGAGAGGACCGAGAAGGACACACCGCUGGUGUACCAGUUAUCGUGCCAACGGUAAACGCUGGGUAGCUAUGUGUGGAGUGGAUAACCGCUGAAAGCAUCUAAGUGGGAAGCCCACCUCGAGAUGAGUAUUCUC